rfam:Theobroma cacao cultivar Matina 1-6 chromosome 4, whole genome shotgun sequence.
AAUCCACGGCGAGGACACCUUCUUAUCAAAUCCUUAUACCUCUCCUAAGCCUCAUAUAGUGUCUCAAAAUCAAAUUGCAUAAAAAAAGUAAUAUCAUUCCUCAUCUU